rnacentral:rRNA from 1 species
UACGAAGGGGGCUAGCGUUGUUCGGAAUCACUGGGCGUAAAGGGCGCGUAGGCGGCUCAUGAAGGCUGUGGUGAAAGUCCGGGGCUCAACCUCGGAUCGGCCGUGGCGACUCGUGGGCUGGAGCACUGUAGAGGCGAGUGGAAUUCCGGGUGUAGCGGUGGAAUGCGUAGAGAUCCGGAAGAACACCGGUGGCGAAGGCGGCUCGCUGGGCAGUGGCUGACGCUGAGGCGCGACAGCGUGGGGAGCAAACAGG